GAUGAACGCUGGCGGCGUGCCUAAUACAUGCAAGUCGAGCGAACGGACGAGAAGCUUGCUUCUCUGAUGUUAGCGGCGGACGGGUGAGUAACACGUGGAUAACCUACCUAUAAGACUGGGAUAACUUCGGGAAGCCGGAGCUAAUACCGGAUAAUAUUUUGAACCGCAUGGUUCAAAAGUGAAAGACGGUCUUGCUGUCACUUAUAGAUGGAUCCGCGCUGCAUUAGCUAGUUGGUAAGGUAACGGCUUACCAAGGCAACGAUGCAUAGCCGACCUGAGAGGGUGAUCGGCCGCACUGGAACUGAGACACGGUCCAGACUCCUACGGGAGGCAGCAGUAGGGAAUCUUCCGCAAUGGGCGAAAGCCUGACGGAGCAACGCCGCGUGAGUGAUGAAGGUCUUCGGAUCGUAAAACUCUGUUAUUAGGGAAGAACAUAUGUGUAAGUAACUGUGCACAUCUUGACGGUACCUAAUCAGAAAGCCACGGCUAACUACGUG
rnacentral:rRNA from 1 species